rnacentral:rRNA from 1 species
UGAGUAACCUGCCCUCCACUCUGGGAUAAGCCCGGGAAACUGGGUCUAAUACCGGAUAUGACCUCCUGUCUCAUGGCGGGUGGUGGAAAGUUUUUUCGGUGGGGGAUGGACUCGCGGCCUAUUAGCUUGUUGGUGAGGUAAUGGCUUACCAAGGCGACGACGGGUAGCCGGCCUGAGAGGGCGACCGGCCACACUGGGACUGAGACACGGCCCAGACUCCUACGGGAGGCAG